CAGACUGACUUGUCAACUUCUUGAAUUCAGAUAUUUGUUGGUGGCUUGGAUCCUAGUGUUUCAGAUGACAUUUUGAAAUCAGUUUUUGGUCAAUAUGGUGAGUUAGUUCAUGUGAAAAUUCCAGCUGGAAAACGUUGUGGUUUUGUACAGUUUGCUAACAGAGCUUGUCAGGAGCAAGCCUUGUCAAUGUUGAAUGGAACCCAAUUAGGAGGGCAAUACAUUCGACUUUCAUGUGGAGGUAGUCCUUCUAACAAACAGGAUCAGCCUGAUCAAGCUCAAUAUGGAUAUGCACAAGGAUAUGAGGCAUAUGGAUAUGCGCCUCCACCCCAAGACCUGAACAUGUAUUGUGGGGGUUAUCCUGGAUAUGGAAAUUACCAGCAGCCAGGGGCAUACCAACAAACACAGCAGGAGCGUUUUGCCUGGCAUCGCUAAGAUUGCCUAUUCAUUGUUGAAUAGUUUAGUACAUUUCUGGGGAAAUAUUAUUUUGAUUUACUUAUUAUGCUUGUGCAUUGUGUAGUGAUCAGUCUAUGUUGAGAUGUUAGUGUUGGUAUGAUCACUUGAACUUUAGGGUUCGGAUGGUUUUUUAAUGUUGCUGUGUUUGGAGUUAAGAGUAUGAUUUUCUUCUUUUCUUAAUUUUAUAUUUUUGUUUGUAAGAUUGGUUGUGUGUUGAAGCACUAUAGGUUGGGGUUUUAACACGAGCAUAGAGGCUUUCAUUUGAUAAGUUGGUAUAACUGCUGCUUUACUCUUUGAUGUUAUUUGUGUACAAUUUGCUAUUUUAAUUAUCUUAUGUGAUGUGCUUUUAACUUUUUAUAUUGUGCUCUA